UGGAGACCAACCUUUGAUGUUGCUUAUAUAUUUAAGUUUACGUACCUAUGUUUGGAGUUGAUGAUUUAUGAACUGAUACGUGAUGACAUAUGUGGCUGGGAUUUUGGGUUGUGAAAUAUAUAAACUGUUUGUUUUCCUUUGACAGGCUGGGUAGUAUUAUGUUAGCCACGUUAUGCUGUCAAAAUUUUAUUGAUUGGUGGGUUAUUUAAUUAGCCA
rnacentral:lncRNA from 1 species